GUUGAUGGGAAUGUUGUUUGGCUCGAGGUGAUAUAGGUUUUGAUUAUUAUCUUUGAAAUUUAAAGAUACAUAGCCCUAUAUAAUCUCGGACCAGGCUUCAUUCCCGUCAAC
rnacentral:pre_miRNA from 1 species